UACAGAGGUCCCAAGCGUUGUUCGGAUUCACUGGGCGUAAAGGGUGCGUAGGUGGCGAGGUAAGUUUGAUGUGAAAUCCUCCGGGCUUAACCCGGAAAUGGCAUUGAAUACUAUCUUGCUUGAGGGUUGGAGGGGGACUGGAAUUCUCGGUGUAGCAGUGAAAUGCGUAGAUAUCGCCUGGAACGCCGACGGUGAAAACAGCUCGCUGGGGGCCUUCUGACGCUGAGACACGAA
rnacentral:rRNA from 1 species